rnacentral:piRNA from 1 species
CAGAUUUGAGAGGACCAGGACCGUACG